rnacentral:rRNA from 1 species
AUUGAACGCUGGCGGCAUGCCUUACACAUGCAAGUCGAACGGCAGCACGGGUGCUUGCACCUGGUGGCGAGUGGCGAACGGGUGAGUAAUACAUCGGAACAUGUCCUGUAGUGGGGGAUAGCCCGGCGAAAGCCGGAUUAAUACCGCAUACGAUCUACGGAUGAAAGCGGGGGACCUUCGGGCCUCGCGCUAUAGGGUUGGCCGAUGGCUGAUUAGCUAGUUGGUGGGGUAAAGGCCUACCAAGGCGACGAUCAGUAGCUGGUCUGAGAGGACGACCAGCCACACUGGGACUGAGACACGGCCCAGACUCCUACGGGAGGCAGCAGUGGGGAAUUUUGGACAAAGGGCGAAAGCCUGAUCCAGCAAUGCCGCGUGUGUGAAGAAGGCCUUCGGGUUGUAAAGCACUUUUGUCCGGAAAGAAAUCCUUGGCCCUAAUACGGGCGGGGGAUGACGGUACCGGAAGAAUAAGCACCGGCUAACUACGUG